rnacentral:lncRNA from 1 species
GACUGGCAAAUAAGGCAAUAUAAAACCAUAAAGUAUAUAACUAAGGCAAUAUAAAACCAUAAAGUAUAUAACUAAUGCAUGGUUCUAAUGACUCUGUGGUAGCCUUGGUAGUCUUUUAUGGAGCUGUUGCCUCAGACACCGCUUCCUGGAGGAGGGAAAAAAAAAAAAAAAAACAGGUGGUCCAUAUAAAGGCAGCUAACACUGAUCCCACCUCAUUUCGUGCAAAAAGGAAACUACACACACUCUCUGAGAAGCACACACUCACACCGCCUCAUUGAAAUACCUGUCAGUUCCAUCAAGAACACCAACACUACUCUUCUCACCUCACCAUGAAGUCUCUGGCUCUGGCUCUCGGAGUGUUGGUCUUGCUAACAGCUGCACUGGCAGAGAGCGACCCAAUUGCAGGUACUCCAAAUAUCACAGAAACUACAAACGCAACUUAUGCGCCCACAACCACGGAGAUGAGCACCCACUCAGUCACACACCCUACGGGAGCCACCAAUGCCACCAUGACCACCAAUGCCACCACGACCACGACCACCACCACGACCACCACCACCACACCCAGCGGGGCCCCGUCAGCGCUGGGAUCCCUCGCCUCCUCUCUGCUCUUCUGCUCCAUGCUCUCUCUGGCUCUGCCUCUACUGUGAGCUAUUGACCCGCUACGCCACACCAAGCCGCAGUAUGCCAAGAAUGAUCCAGAAAUGUGCCUUAACGGUCACGUCUAUGAAGGAUGACAAAAUGCUUGAGCCUAUUUUAUACAAAAAAAAUGUGUUUACUGAAAACAUUACCGUAUGAAAUACUUUGAUUUAUUUUUAAAAGCCUAGGAUGAUAAUGUGACAUUUUUUUUUUUUUACAUCAUCUGUAAAUAAGAGUAUUUUUACCAUACAUGAUUGUUAAAGAUCUGAUACAUAUGUAUUUUGUAUAAUAUAAUGUUUUUUUUUCAUACACUUUUCCAAAAUGUAAAUUCCUGCCCCAUUUUAAUAGGGGUGUUCAGUCUGUACAGUACCACUCAAAUUUAUUGUAUGAUAAAUGAGGUUUGACCAUGAAUAAAAUUACGCUAUUCUUACUGAGAGUGAGGAAU